ACAAGAUUUUUGCAGAGAUUUUCCUGGUCAAGAGUGCAACAUGAGUCGUGGAUAUGAACUUUACUGUCAGAUGUACAUUGAUUGGAAAGUGAACAAGAUAUCUGCACUGAGAAUGAAUGAAGUUGAAGAAAGUUGAAAGGCACCCCAGAAGAACCUGAAUUAUUUUAGCCCUAUCCUAGAUUCAUUGAAUAUUUUAGUGUGUGAUAACAUGUGUGAAAUGUUAUCAAUUAUGUGACAAUUUUCAAAACUUGGAUUUAUAAAGAUAAAUUUUUCUUUG